rnacentral:rRNA from 1 species
GUGCCAGCAGCCGCGGUAAUACGGAGGGGGCCAGCGUUGUUCGGAAUCAUUGGGCGUAAAGGGCGCGUAGGCGGCCGGGUAAGUCUGACGUGAAAUCCCUUGGCUUAACCAAGGAAUUGCGUCUUAAACUGUCUGGCUUGAGUCCGGGAGAGGGUAGUGGAAUUCCCAGUGUAGCGGUGAAAUGCGUAGAUAUUGGGAGGAACACCGGUGGCGAAGGCGGCUACCUGGACCGGUACUGACGCUGAGGCGCGAAAGCUAGGGUAGCAAACAGGAUUAGAAACCCCUGUAGUCC